UACGUAGGGUGCAAGCGUUAAUCGGAAUUACUGGGCGUAAAGCGUGCGCAGGCGGUUCGCUAAGACAGAUGUGAAAUCCCCGGGCUUAACCUGGGAACUGCAUUUGUGACUGGCGGGCUAGAGUAUGGCAGAGGGGGGUAGAAUUCCACGUGUAGCAGUGGAAAUGCGUAGAGAUGUGGAGGAAUACCGAUGGCGAAGGCAGCCCCCUGGGCCAAUACUGACGCUCAUGCACGAAAGCGUGGGGAGCAAACAGG
rnacentral:rRNA from 1 species